rnacentral:rRNA from 1 species
GACGAACGCUGGCGGCGUGCUUAACACAUGCAAGUCGAACGGUGAAGCCCAGCUUGCUGGGUGGAUCAGUGGCGAACGGGUGAGUAACACGUGAGCAACCUGCCCUCCACUUCGGGAUAAGCCUUGGAAACGGGGUCUAAUACCGGAUAUGAGCACUCAUCGCAUGGUGGGUGUUGGAAAGUUUUUCGGUGGGGGAUGGGCUCGCGGCCUAUCAGCUUGUUGGUGGGGUGAUGGCCUACCAAGGCGUCGACGGGUAGCCGGCCUGAGAGGGCGACCGGCCACACUGGGACUGAGACACGGCCCAGACUCCUACGGGAGGCAGCAGUGGGGAAUAUUGCACAAUGGGCGAAAGCCUGAUGCAGCGACGCCGCGUGAGGGAUGACGGCCUUCGGGUUGUAAACCUCUUUCAGCAGGGAAGAAGCGCAAGUGACGGUACCUGCAGAAGAAGCGCCGGCUAACUACGUGCCAGCAGCCGCCGUAACAC